rnacentral:rRNA from 1 species
UACGUAGGGGGCAAGCGUUGUCCGGAAUCAUUGGGCGUAAAGCGCGUGUAGGCGGUUCGGUAAGUCUGCUGUGAAAGUCCAGGGCUCAACCCUGGGAUGCCGGUGGAUACUGUCGGACUAGAGUACGGAAGAGGCGAGUGGAAUUCCCGGUGUAGCGGUGAAAUGCGCAGAUAUCGGGAGGAACACCUGUGGCGAAAGCGGCUCACUGGACCACACUGUACGCUGAGGCGCGAAAGCUAGGGGAGCAAACAGG